CCUAGCCCUAAUUGAAGAUCUAUCGUCGGGAGAUUGAAGCCCUUGAUCUUAGGCCAGAGUUCGAGGACGGUGUAUUGAGGAUUGCGGUUGGUGGCAAUGGCACUGAUUGCGACGAUUGAGAAGAAGAGGGAAGUGGAUGGAGUUUUGGGCGAAGAUGAGGACGACGUCUCUUUCUUGAUGUUGCGGUUGAGCAAGGCGUGAGCCAGCUUGAAGACUAGAGAUUUGAGCUGGAGGAAGGUUAGGGUUUUGGCGGUGUCGGCGUCGGCGAGGGCAAGGUUGUUGGGGAAGGAGGUGGAGGAUUGGAAGAGGAAGGAGGUGAGGGAGAGGUUGGGAUCUAUGGGGAAGGGGACGGGAGGUCGGGGGAAGGUGUAGGUUUGGGUUUUGGGGUUGAAGGAUUUGGGCGCCAUGGGUUUUUGGGGGCUGAGAAAUUUCGGGAAUUGAGUGUUUGUUUCUUGUCUGUGCAUUUCAGAUUCGACCCCAGCCCCAUCCUUCUUUUUCUUAACAUUGUCUGCCCAAAUGCAUCAAAUGGCAGUACAACAAGUUUACUUGAUUAGGGUUGUCCCAUUUGGAUGAUGAUGAUGGAUGGAUGCUCAUCUCCUUUCCUCAUGCCUUCUUCAAGCAUUCAAUCAAAGCCUUCAUGUGAUGUAUGAUUUUUGCCAUUUGGGUUUUUCCGUUUGCUUCAACAGCCUCAAAAGCACCCAACUGCUCGAACCCAGUUGAGGAAAUUGGAUUCAAGUAAUACCCAAAUGGGAAAUUGGGGAAAAUGGAAAAGGAGUUGGAAGUUUCAACAUUUUGAAAGCUUGAAGGACCCAAAUGGGGAACUGGGUUUCCUAGGCACUCGAGUUUGGGAUGGUUGAGAUGGCUGUGAUGGGAAAUGACAGAAGGUGUGGCGAUGGAGGGGGUGAACAGGAGAAUGGCGAUGAAGGGGAUGAACAGGGGCUGGGUUUG
rnacentral:lncRNA from 1 species